CCCAAAUGAAGUCACACACAAAGAGUAAAAAACAUGAUGGAAAAACAUUAUUAUCUGCUUUUCCAUUUGACUUGCAGCUGAAAUCUUCCAUAGUUGUGGAAAGGAAAACUAAAGCAAGUACUGGACUUUCUGCCACUGAAUUGGAACAAACAACAGUUGGAGUGUUGGAGAGAUAUUGACAAACUGACAGUUAGUGAGGGGAGGGGCAACUGGGAGUGGCAGUUGGUCUUGUGACUUGCACUUCCUUGCUGGCCCUGGAAGUGGAAGGAGCUCUCUUCUUGUAUCUGGGUAGAAGUGACUCUAUGCCUGAAUUUCCCAACUGAGUGCUCUCCCUGGAUUCCUGUGAUCAUGUCAUCUACAAAAGGGCUUAAGGGAAGCAGUUUGAACUGUAAGCUAAUGCAAUACUUUGAUAAAGACUGAUGUUGGACCCAACUCCAUGCACUUCAAGAACAUUUGGAGCCAUACUGGUCAUGUCACUGAAGAAUGUGAAUAUUCCCAACACAAAAUAUUCUUUCAAGAGAAAGGAGAAUAUUCUCAAAUUGGUAACUCUGAGAGAUAAUAUAUUGUUGGGCUAGAUGGAGCAGUGGAUAGAGUGCCCACCCUGGAAUCAGAGAGACUCCUCUUCCUGAGUUUAAAACUUUUAUUUUCAUUAUUUUCCCAGAUUACAUGUGGAUAUAAUUUUUAGUAAUCUUUUUUCUGAUAAUUUAUAAUCCAUAUUCUCUUCCUAUCUUCCAACCCUUCCCCCUCCCCUAGAAGUCAGAUAAUAUAAUAUAGAUUAUACAUAUGUUAUCAUAUGAUCAUAUUUUUGUGUUUGUCAUAUUGUGAAAGAAGACACGUUGUUUACACUAGAGAAAAAUUCAUGGAAGAAAUAAAGUGAAGAUGGGUAUGCUUCAAUAUGCCUUCAGACUCUUGCAUUUCUUUCUAUGGAAAUGGAUAGCUAUUUUCAUCAUGAGUCUAUUGGUAUCUGAUUUCAAAUAUAGUUUCAAACUCACUUAACUAGCUGUAUGACCCUGGAAAAGUCACUUAACCCUGUCUGCCUCAGUUUCCUCAUCUGCAAAUGAAUAGGAAGAAGAAGAAAUGUCAAACCACUUCUGUAUCUUUGUCCACAAUAUCCUAAAUGGGGUCAUGAGGAGUUGGGCAUGUCUGAAAAUGACUGAACAACAACAAAAAACAUCAUUGUUAUAUGUGUCUGGAAAUCAGUCAUAAUUCAUGCUGACUGGGGAUGAUAGUACAGAAAUUCAAGUCAAAAAGACUUGGAUUCACAUUUUGCUUACAAUACUACCUGGCUGUAUGAACAUAGGAUACAGCUCUCCACACCUCUUUAUGGUACCUUUAUAAUGAAAAAAUGCUUUAUAAACCUUAAAGUACUAUAUAAACAUGAGUUAUCAUUUUUAUCUUUCAAGUCAUACCUCUUCUGUAUAGAGAAUUUCCUCUGUAUAGAUAUCUAUCUUUUGACAACUGUCUUAAUGUAUUGAUGAAUGAACUGUGUCAGUGCAUAAUGUAUUUUAAAUGCAUGUCAAUACUUAUAGAAUGAAUCACAACAUCCUACACAUCUGCUUGGAGGAGGGGCAGGAGGGAUUAUGAUGACAUUCUUCUUUCUAUUCUGCCCAAUUUGAGUGUAAUAUUUUACUAAAUGGUAUUUUUUAAAGAAACACAUUAUUUGAUAAAAUUAUUUCUCAAACUGAAUUCCAUCAAAAUGUCAUGGUUGUUAUGUGCUUAAAAAGCUUCUCCUCCUCUAUUAUUAAGUGAUAAAAGAUUAUAAUUUGAUAAAAAUGGAUACUAAAAUGACUGAAGUUUUUAAAGCAUCUUUCAAUAAAAUCCAACAUAAAAUUCAAAGAAAAUAUCAAAGAUGACUUUUUCAUUAUUUGGAUCUUACAGAUAUGUUUGUAAUUUACUUCAGGAUGUUCAUAUGUAAAUCUGGGGAGAUCAACAUUGGUGUGGAAAGGCAUCUUUCUUUGGAUGCUUUGUUAGGAAAAUAUAUUUAUAAAAACCCCAUAUGGUUAUUCCUUAGAAGGAAGAGAAACAGUGAUGGAAGUCAAAUUUUGAAUAAUUAUAAUGAUCAAUUGGGUCAAAGAAAUAAAUAAUGAAGCAUAUAUCCUUCUUCUUGAGAAAAGGUGAGGGACCUUUGGGGGAGAGUGUGUCAUACAAUGUUAGUUAUGGUCACUCUGCUUUGUUUUUGCUUAACUAUUUUUCUUUUUGACAAGUUUCAGUAUUAACAUGGCAAGUGACCACUGUUUUAAAGAGAUUUUAAGGGAAAGGUUUAGGAAAGGGAACACACACAAGUAAAUAAAUAAUUUUAUUAACAAAGGGAAGGGAAUGGUAGUGAAGGAUGGACCAUUUCCUACCCAGAUUCUUAACCCAAUAAAGUUUCUACACUAAUCUUAAUAUAACCAAACUAAACUAAUCUACAAGUUAAAUGAAAGAUAAAGUCCAAACAGGGAGCCCAGAU